GCCUUCGUCACACCCGCGCGCCUCCUACGUCAGCAACACGUCAGGCCAGAGGUCGCAGUUUCGGGCCCUCCCGGCUGUUUCUAUGGGGAUCUGAUGUUCUCUCGUUUAUGGCAGCCACAUAGGAUUUUGUUUGUUCUUCACACACCUGCACCUGGUGGUUUGUUUCCUGGCCUCCACCCCUUCUCGUUACACAACCGGGAUGAUAAUGCCAUUAAUCCCUGGAAUAAAUUAACUAAAAAAGGUUCAGCUGCAGAUCUGACAUCCUGACGUACCCCACAAUUUAGGCAGAAGAAAACUAUUUCAUUCCAAACGGGGUUUCCAUUCUGUAUGCUGAGGCUUUUGAGUGUCUGAUUGAAGUGUUACCUUUUCGUGCUUCACAUUUUUUACUGGAUAUACAAGAUAAGGAUUCGUCUGGGAUCAGAAUAGGGUAUUUUUAUGCUAGACUUGAUGAAAUCAUUGUCGGCAACUGUCAAAACAAAAAUGACUUGAAGACAGAUCAUCUUGUUAUAGGAGACUUGCUUCAGUAAUCUGGAACUUACAACCAAUUUAGUUAUGUCAGGGCACUAAGUCCCAUUUACAGUUAAGACAUGAUGUAAUAAAUAUAAAUUAAAUUUG